rnacentral:misc_RNA from 1 species
UCUCCGUUGGUGAACCAGCGGAGGGAUCAUUACAGAGUGCCCCUGGCUCUGCCAACCCCGCGAACCAUACACUGUUGCCUCGGCGGGCCUACCAGCCCGCCGCAGGCCCCUAAAACCCAUUGAUUUAGUUGUCCAUCUGACUUAGAUUCUUAAAUGAACUAAAAACUUUCAACAACGGAUCUCUUGGCUCCGGCAUCGAUGAAGAACGCAGC